ACAACUGCAUAGAAACUGAAAAAAGGGAAAAUACCAAUGCAUUGGAUCAUAAUCAGUCUUUUAUUACAUGGAGAUCACACCAUCUUUCCUUGAGCAUUGUUGUUGACACCACUAAACUACUAAUCAAGUACCUGGAUUACACCAAAAAGCACUCUGUCGUUAAUUUCUCAAGCAUCUGCCUCCAUAACUAUCGUUCAGGUACCUCCACAAGCUACAAAAAUAACUCAAACCAUUCAAGUGCCUGCACAAGCUACUAAAUGACAACCCCCAUAGGGGGCAAAUUUAACAAGAAAUGCUUAAGCAAAAGUCCUACUACAUUUCAAAUAACUUUCAAAUGCCCCCAAAUCGUAUUUAGCUGCAUUAGCGCAUGAUUCCAUUAGCAGGAAUAAAUCAAAGAAGUGACAAGCACACAAUUUCAACAACAUUACUGAAGGGAAUCGGCUGUAAGGACUGGAUGAUGGUUUACAACCACAGGAGGCCGAAGAGCUUUGUGAUUAGCUACAUUUUCCUUGCGUGCCUUGUACAUCUCUUCAGUCUCAAUGACAACCAACCUUUUCACCUAAGAUCAGUAUGAGAAAUGCAAAAUGAAUAAUUACUAGUACUUCAUAUGGAAACGAGAACGCAAAGGAGAGCACUC
rnacentral:lncRNA from 1 species